rnacentral:tRNA from 1 species
GCCGAGGUAGCUCAGUUUGGGAGAGCACUCGGCUGAAGACCGAGUUGUCGCUGGUUCAAGUCCGGCCCUCGGCA